AGCACCUAGAGUGUGAGCACAGCCCGGGAGCCGCCGGUUCGGGCGCAGUGCGACCCCUACCCCGCCCUCCCUCUUGCCCGCCAUGGGCAACGAGGCCAGUUUGGAGGGCGGCGCUGGCGACGGGCCCCCGCCUCCCGGAGGCUCUGGUCCCGGCCCGGGCCCCGGCGCAGGGAAGCCGUCUUCAGCACCGGCCGGCGGCGGACAGCUCCCUGCGGCCGGCGCAGCGCGGGCUACCGCGGGGCCACAGGUCCCUGGCCCUGGCCCUGGCCCUGGCCCGGGCAGCAUUUCCCGGAGACUGGACCCCAAGGAGCCCCCAAGUAGCCAGAGAGCAGCUUCCCCAACUCCGAAGCAGGCUUCUGCUACUGCUCCUGGCCGAGAAAGCCCCCUGGAGACGAGGACACAGGGCCUAGCAGGCCAGGAGGCUGAUGGUCCACGCAGGACGCUGCAGGUAGACAGCAGGACACAGAGAUCAGGGCGGUCCCCUUCAGUGUCACCGGACAGAAGCAGCACCCCAACAUCACCCUACUCCGUCCCUCAGAUCGCACCCCUUCCCAGCAGCACCCUGUGUCCCAUAUGCAAGACCUCGGACCUCACUUCAACUCCCAGCCAGCCAAACUUCAACACCUGCACCCAGUGUCACAACAAGGUCUGCAACCAGUGUGGGUUCAACCCCAAUCCUCAUCUCACCCAGGUGAAGGAGUGGCUCUGUCUGAACUGUCAGAUGCAGAGGGCUCUGGGAAUGGACAUGACUACUGCGCCUCGCUCCAAAAGCCAGCAGCAGCUACACUCCCCAGCCCUGUCUCCUGCCCACUCCCCAGCCAAACAGCCCCUGGGGAAGCCAGAGCAAGAGAGAUAUCAGGGUCCAGGGGGACCACAGCCUGGCCCCCGCCAGGCUGAGACAGCCAGGGCCACCACAGUGCCGGGGCCUGCCCAAGUAACUGCCCUUCCUCAGCCCUCUCUCCCCACCAAGCCUUCCACAGCAGAGCCCAGGCCACUUGCAGGAGAGGCCCCAGCCAAAAGUGCCACUGCAGUGCCCUCUGGGCUUGGUGCUGCAGAGCAGACACAGGAAGGCCUCACUGGUAAGCUCUUUGGCCUCGGUGCAUCGCUGCUGACCCAAGCUAGCACUCUCAUGUCUGUGCAGCCCGAGGCUGACCCCCAAGGCCAGCCUACCCCCAGCAAGGGACCGCCCAAGAUUGUCUUCAGUGAUGCCAGCAAGGAUGCUGACCCAAGAUCCCUGGGCUCAGGGCCAGCACCUGGAGCCAAAACUGAGCCUGGAGCUAGAACAGGUCUUGGAUCAGGGCCUGGAGCCCUGCCGAAAACUGGGGGAACAACCAGCCCAAAGCAUGGCAGAGCAGAACAUCAGGCAGCAUCCAAGGCUGCUGCUAAGCCAAAGACCAUGCUAAAGGAAAAGGCCACCUGCCCACUGUGCCAAGCUGAGCUCAACGUGGGCAGCAAGGGCCCAGCCAACUAUAACACCUGCACCACUUGCAAGCUCCAGGUGUGCAACCUGUGUGGCUUCAAUCCAACACCUCACCUAGUGGAGAAAACAGAGUGGCUCUGUCUGAACUGCCAAACUAAGCGGCUAUUGGAGGGCAGCCUAGGAGAGCCGAUCCCUCCGCCGCUGCCCACCUCACAGCAGCCCCCGGUGGGGGCCCCUCACCGUGUAGCUGGAACAACCCCUCUGAAGCAGAAAGGCCCCCAGGGGACUGGCCAGCCAUCAGGCCCCCUGCCUGUCAAGGCCAGCCCCCUACCCACCAAAGCCAGCCCUCUGCCUACCAAGGCCAGCCCUCUGCCUACCAAGACCAGCCCUCUUCCUACCAAGGCCAGCCCCCAGGCCAAGCCCCUCAAGGCCUCUGAACCCAGCAGGACCCCCAGCAGUGCCCAGGAAAAGAAGACAGGAGUCCCUGCUAAAGCUGAGCCUGUGCCGAAGCCACCUCCAGAGACUACCCCCUCUUCUGGGAUACCUAAAACAAAGAGUAUGGGGAAGAAGGCUGAACCUGCCACCCCUGUCAUCAAGGCCGUUCCAGAAACCCCUAAGGGUGGGGAGGCAGAGGAGCCAGUGAGCAAGCCUUAUUCUCAGGAUGUUUCUCGGAGCCCACAGAGCCUCAGUGACACAGGCUAUUCCUCUGACGGUGUCUCCAGCUCCCAGAGUGAAAUCACAGGAGUUGUGCAGCAUGAGGUGGAACAGUUGGAUAGUGCUGGGGUGACAGGGCCACGCCCACCCAGCCCCUCAGAGAUUCACAAGGUGGGAAGCAGUAUGCCGCCUUUGCCAGAGCCACCGGGCCUGACCUCCACUGGUGAGCAGAGCAAGCCACCCUGCAGCAGCACUGGUGAGGAACAGACACAGCGUCCCCACUCCUUGUCAAUCACGCCUGAGGCCUUUGACUCUGAGGAGGAGCUGGAGGAUAUCCUGGAGGAAGAGGAAGACUCUCUUGUUUGGAGGCACCGGAGGGAGCAACAGGACGCAGCUGAGUCCUCGGAUGACUAUGGCAGCCAGCUGAGGCAUGACUAUGUAGAAGACAGCAGUGAGGGUGGCCUGUCCCCUCUUCCACCCCAGCCCCCAGCCCGGGCAGCAGAACUGACUGAUGAGGAGUUCAUGCGACGGCAGAUCCUAGAGAUGAGUGCUGAGGAAGACAACCCGGAGGAGGAUGACACUGCCACCUCCAGGCAUGGCCUGGCCAAACAUGGCACCCAGAAGGGUGCCCCUAGGCCUAGGCCUGAGCCUAACCAAGAACCAGCAGCACUGCCCAAGAAGCGCCUGCCCCACAAUGCCACCACCGGCUAUGAGGAGCUGCUGUCUGAGGGAGGCCCAACAGAGGUCACUGAAGGUAGUGGGACCCUGCAAGGUGGUCUCCGCCGCUUCAAGACCAUUGAGCUCAACAGCACGGGCAGCUAUGGCCAUGAGCUAGACCUGGACCAGGGCCCUGACACCAACCUGGACCGGGAACCCGAACUGGAAAUGGAAAGCCUGACAGGCUCUCCUGAGGACCGCUCCCGUGGAGAGCACUCCUCUACACUGCCCGCAUCUACCCCCAGCUACACGUCAGGCACCUCCCCCACCUCCCUGUCCUCUCUAGAGGAAGACAGUGACAGCAGCCCCAGCCGACGGCAGCGGCUAGAAGAAGCGAAGCAGCAGCGCAAGGCCCGGCACCGCUCCCAUGGGCCCCUGCUGCCCACCAUUGAGGACUCCUCAGAGGAAGAGGAGCUGCGAGAGGAAGAAGAGCUGCUGCGUGAGCAGGAGAAGAUGAGGGAGGUGGAGCAGCAGCGCAUCCGUAGCACUGCCCGGAAGACCCGGCGUGACAAGGAAGAAUUGCGGGCUCAGAGGCGGCGUGAGCGCUCCAAGACACCUCCUAGCAACUUGUCACCCAUUGAGGAUGCCUCCCCUACAGAGGAGCUGAGGCAGGCAGCUGAGAUGGAGGAGCUGCAUCGCUCCUCCUGCUCUGAGUACUCACCCUCGCCCUCCCUUGACUCCGAGGCUGAGGCCCUGGAUAGCGGCCCUAGCCGGCUCUACAAGUCAGGCAGUGAGUACAACCUGCCCACCUUCAUGUCCCUCUACUCACCAACUGAGAUGCCAUCAGGAAGUUCCACCACCCCCAGUUCUGUUCGGCCCCUCAAGAGUGCUGAGGAGGCCUACGAGGAGAUGAUGAGAAAAGCCGAGCUGCUCCAGCGGCAACAAAGCCAGGUGUCAGGCACCCGGGGGCCCCAGGGUGGCCCCUCUCAGCCCACAGGUCCCCGGGGCCAGGGCUCCUUUGAAUACCAAGGUGCUCCAGACCGUGAGUAUGGCCCAGCUGCUCAGCCUACCUCAGAAGGGACGCCGGCCAGCCUAGGAACAGCCACAUAUGAGGAGAUUCUUCAGACAUCACAGAGCAUAGCUCGCAUGCGGCAGGCUUCUUUGCAGGACCUGGGCUUUGCUGAGGACAAGAAGAAGGAAAAGCAGUUUCUGAAUGCUGAGAGUGCAUACAUGGACCCAAUGAAGCAAAAUGGUGGCCCACUUACCCCUGGUACCAGUCCCACCCAGCUCGCUGCCCCUGUGUCCUUCUCCACCUCUACCUCUUCAGACAGCAGUGGAGGCCGAGUUAUUCCCGAUGUUCGUGUCACUCAGCAUUUUGCAAAGGAGCCUCAGGAACCCCUCAAGCUACACAGCUCUCCUGCCUCCCCCAGCUCAGCCUCCAAGGAGGUAGGCAUGUCCUUCUCCCAUGGCCCUGAGACUCCAGCCACCACAACUGUGGCUCCUUGUCCAGCUAGCCUGCCACGGGGGUAUAUAACUCCAACAUCUCCAGCAGUCUCUGAGCAGAGCCCUUCACCAUCUUCCACAGGCCGCAACUAUGGACCAAGCCCAACCACUGCAAACUAUGGGUCUCAAACUGAGGAGCUAUCCCGGGUCCCCAGUUCCCCUGCUGCAGGUGGACGGGCUGCCAGAGAGAAGACCUUGAGUGGGAGUGACAACGAGGGUGCCACUUCCCAGCAUUCUCGGGCAUAUUCCUAUUUUGCAGGUUCUAGCCCACCUCUUUCUCCAUCCUCUCCCUCAGAGAGUCCUACAUUCUCUCUUGGCAAGCUGGGCCCAAGGGCCACAGCCGAGUUCUCUACACAGACGCCAAGUCUAACCCCUGCCUCAGACAUGCCAUGGAGUCCUGGUGCCCCCACCCCAACAUCCAUGGUAGCCCAGGGCACACAAACACCACACCGACCCAGCACACCUCGCCUGGUGUGGCAGCAGUCCUCGCAGGAGGCUCCCUUUAUGGUCAUCACGCUGGCAUCAAAUGCUUCCAGCCAGACCAGGAUGGUACAUGCCAGUGCCUCCACCUCCCCACUGUGCUCACCUACUGAUACCCAGCCCACCACCCAUAGCUACAGCCAGACGACACCUCCAAGUGUCUCUCAGAUGUCCUCAGAGCCACCUGGGCCACCUGGCUUCCCAAGGAUGCCCAGUGUGGGUACAGAUGGGCCCCUGGCACUUUAUGGCUGGGGUGCCCUCCCUGCUGAGAACAUCUCCCUAUGUCGGAUCUCCUCUGUCCCUGGAACGUCUAGGGUUGAACCAGGCCCCAGAACCCCUGGAAGUGCAGUGGUAGACCUCCGCACAGCCAUUAAGCCCACCCCUAUCAUCCUCACUGACCAGGGCAUGGACUUGACCUCACUUGCCGUGGAAGCAAGGAAGUAUGGCCUUGCCUUGGAUCCAAUACCAGGACGGCAGUCGACCGCUGUGCAGCCCUUGGUUAUCAACCUCAAUGCCCAGGAACAGACCCAUGCCUUGCUUGGCACUGCCACCACCGUUAGCAUCACUAUGGCCUCAUCUGUGCUCAUGGCUCAGCAAAAGCAGCCUGUGGUCUAUGGAGACCCCUUCCAGAGCCGCCUUGACUUUGGCCAGGGUUCAGGUAGUCCUGUGUGUUUGGCCCAGGUCAAGCAGAUAGAACAGGGUGUCCAGACAGCUCCAUACCGAGGCGGGCCCCGGGGAAGACCCAGAGAGACCAAGUUUGCCAGGUAUAACCUGCCCAACCAGGUAGUGCCUCUGGCCAGAAGGGAUGUUUUGAUCACUCAGAUGGGCAGCACACAGAGUGUUGGCCUCAAGCCAGGUCCAGUGCCAGAACCUGCUGCUGAGCCCCACCAGGCCACUCCUGCAGAGCUACGGUCACAUGCUCUUCCAGGUGCCAGGAAGCCACACGCAGUGGUAGUGCAGAUGGGAGAGGGCACAGCAGGCACUGUGACCACACUGCUCCCAGAGGAGCCAACAGGUGCCCUUGACCUCACUGGGAUGAGGCCUGAGAGCCAGCUGGCAUGCUGUGACAUGGUCUACAAGUUCCCCUUUGGCAGUAGCUGCACUGGCACCUUCCAGCCCACUCCUAAUGUGCCUGAGAAGAGCAUGGCAGAUGCUGCCCCACCAGGCCAGAGUAGUGGCCCCUUCUAUGGUCCCCAAGACCCUGAGCCUCUCGAGCCCCCCACCUACCAGGCACAGGGGCUAGUGGGGCUUGGGGCUGCUGAGGAACAGAGGCCCUACCCACAGGGUCUCCCUGGCAGGCUGUACUCUUCCAUGUCUGACACCAAUUUGGCUGAGGCUGGUCUCAACUACCAUGCUCACCGGGUUGGGCAGCUCUUCCAAGGCCCUGGACGAGACUCAGCUGUGGAUCUCAGCUCUCUGAAGCAUUCCUACAGGUUGGGCUUUGCAGACGGACGCUACCUAGGGCAGGGUUUGCAAUAUGGCUCAUUCACAGACCUGCGUCAUCCUACAGAUCUUUUAAGUCACCCACUUCCCAUGCGGCGUUAUAGCUCUGUGUCGAACAUCUACUCAGACUACAGGUAUGGCCAGCGGGGAGAUGCAGUUGGCUUCCAAGAGGCCAGCUUGGCCCAGUACAGUGCCACCACAGCCCGUGAGAUCAGCCGCAUGUGUGCUGCCCUCAACUCUAUGGACCAGUAUGGUGGGCGGCAUGGCAGUGGUGGUGGUGGCACUGAUCUUGUGCAAUACCAGCCUCAGCACAGGCCUCGGAUCACUGCUUCUCAGGGUCUGGCUCCCCCCAGACCUGGACUCCUUGGUAACCCCACCUUUCCAGAGGGCCACCCAAGUCCUGGGAACUUGGCCCAGUAUGGGCCUGCAGCAGGCCAGGGAACAGCAAUCAGACAGCUGCUGCCAUCCACAGCCACUGUGCGUGCAGCAGAUGGCAUGAUCUAUUCAACUAUCAAUACCCCAAUUGCUGCAACACUGCCCAUCACCACCCAGCCUGCCUCAGUACUGCGGCCCAUGGUGCGUGGUGGCAUGUACAGGCCUUAUGCAUCUGGUAGAGUCACAGCCGUGCCGCUCACCAGCCUGACACGUGUGCCCAUGAUUGCCCCCCGGGUACCUCUUGGGCCCACAGGGCUAUACCGUUAUCAUGUACCUAGUAGAUUCCCCAUUGCUUCCAGCAUUCCAUCUGCUGAGGGGCCUGUCUACUUGGGGAAACCUGCUGCUGCCAAGGCCCCAGGGGCUGGGGGUCCACCAAGGGGAGAGCUGCCCACAGGGGCUGCACGGGAAGAGUCUCUUUCUAUAACCACUCCUGCUGUUGUCAAGGAGGCUGCAGGAGCCCCAGCCUCCUCCCCAUUAACUGGCCAGAAGCCACCAGGAGAUGCUGCUCUUGGGGGUGGCAGUGGGGCUCUCAACCGGCCAGGCCUUGAGAAGGAGGAAGCAUCUCAGGAGGAGAGGCAGCGGAAGCAGCAGGAGCAGUUGCUCCAGCUAGAGCGGGAGCGGGUGGAGUUAGAGAAGCUGAGACAGCUGCGGCUGCAAGAGGAGCUAGAGCGGGAGCGUGUGGAGCUACAGAGGCACCGUGAGGAAGAACAGCUGCUGGUGCAACGGGAGUUGCAGGAGCUGCAGACCAUCAAGCACCAUGUGCUGCAGCAGCAGCAAGAGGAACGCCAGGCUCAGUUUGCACUGCAGCGAGAGCAGCUAGCACAGCAGCGUCUACAGCUGGAGCAGAUCCAGCAGCUGCAGCAGCAGCUGCAGCAGCAGCUAGAGGAACAGAAGCAGCGGCAGAAGGCUCCCUUCCCUGCAGCCUGUGAGGCACCUGGCCGAGGGCCUCCCCCAGCAGCCACUGAGCUGGCCCAGAAUGGCCAGUACUGGCCCCCGCUGACACAUACAGCCUUCAUUGCUGUGGCAGGGCCUGAGGGGACUGGGCAGCCUCGUGGUGAGCCUAUGCUGCAUCGGGGUCUCCCUAGCUCCGCCUCAGACAUGUCACUGCAAACUGAGGAGCAGUGGGAGGCAGGCCGCAGUGGCAUCAAGAAGCGGCACUCCAUGCCACGCCUGCGGGAUGCCUGUGAGCCAGAGUCGGGGCCUGAGCCCUGUAUGGUCAGGAGGAUUGCAGAUAGCAGCGUGCAGACAGAUGAUGAGGAUGGGGAGGGCCGCUACCUCCUGAGCCGGCGGCGCCGAGCACGGCGGAGUGCUGACUGCAGUGUGCAGACCGAUGACGAGGACAGUGCAGAGUGGGAGCAGCCAGUGCGUCGCCGCAGGUCCCGCCUUUCCCGCCACUCUGACUCUGGCUCUGACAGCAAGCACGAUGCCACUGCCUCAUCAUCCACUGCCACUGCUGCUGCGAGGGCCAUGAGCAGCGUGGGCAUCCAGACCAUCAGUGACUGCUCCGUGCAGACAGAGCCUGAUCAGCUGCCCAGGGUCUCUCCAGCUAUCCACAUCAUAGCUGCCACUGACCCCAAGGUGGAGAUUGUCAGGUACAUAUCAGCACCAGAGAAGACUGGGCGUGGGGAGAGCUUGGCCUGUCAGACAGAGCCAGAUGGUCAGGCUCAGGGUGUGACUGGACCUCAGCUCGUAGGGCCAACUGCUAUCAGUCCCUAUCUGCCCGGCAUCCAGAUCGUCACCCCAGGACCUCUGGGAAGGUUUGAAAAAAAGAAGCCGGAUCCUCUGGAGAUUGGGUACCAGACCCACCUGCCCCCAGAGUCUCUCUCACAGCUUGUGAGCCGCCAGCCUCCCAAGUCCCCCCAGGUCCUCUACUCACCAGUCUCGCCCCUGUCCCCACACCGGCUCCUGGACACAUCCUUUGCUUCCAGUGAGAGGCUGAACAAGGCUCACGUGAGUCCCCAGAAGCACUUCACGACUGACAGCACUCUCCACCAGCCGACGUUGCCUCGCCCCAUGAAGACCCUGCAGCGGUCCUUGUCUGACCCUAAGCCCCUCAGCCCCACCGCCGAGGAGUCUGCCAAAGAGAGGUUCUCCCUCUACCAGCACCAGGGGGGACUGGGUAGCCAGGUGUCGGCGCUGCCACCCAACAGCCUGGUCCGCAAGGUGAAGCGGACACUACCCAGCCCCCCUCCAGAGGAGGCUCACCUUCCCCUGGCUGGCCAGGCCCCCCCACAGCUGUAUGCAGCCAGUCUACUGCAGCGAGGGCUGGCGGGGCCCACCACUGUCCCUGCUACCAAGGCCAGCUUGCUCCGGGAGCUGGACCGGGACCUCCGGCUGGUGGAGCAUGAAUCCACCAAGCUGCGCAAGAAGCAGGCAGAACUGGAUGAGGAGGAGAAGGAGAUUGAUGCCAAGCUCAAGUACCUGGAGCUGGGCAUCACACAGCGCAAAGAGUCUUUGGCCAAAGACCGAGGUGGCCGUGACUACCCACCCUUGCGUGGUCUUGGUGAGCAUCGUGACUACCUGUCAGACAGUGAGCUCAACCAGCUGCGUCUCCAGGGGUGCUCUACUCCUGCUGGCCAGUACAUGGACUUCCCCGCCACUGCUGUGGCUCCUGCCACCCCCUCCGGUCCCACUGUCUUCCAACAGUCCCGGUUCCCACCUCCAGCCUCACAGUACACUGCAGGCAGUAGUGGACCAACUCAGAAUGGAUUCCCAGCCCACCAACCACCCACCUACUCUGGCCCCAGCACAUACCCAGCAUCUUCCUUUCCUCCUGGCACCGGCUAUACCGCUGAGCCUGGUCUCCCAAACCAACAGGCUUUCCAUCCCACAGGCCAUUGUGCAGCCCAAACACCCAUGCCAACCACACAGAGCACCCUUUUUCCUGUCCCAGCUGACAGUCGUGCCCCCCACCAGAAGCCACGCCAGACAUCUCUAGCUGACUUGGAGCAGAAGUUGCCUACCAACUAUGAGGUGAUCGCCAGCCCUGUUGUGGCCAUAUCUUCAGCCCCCUCUGAAACCAGCUACAGUGGCCCUGGAGUGAGCAGUGGCUAUGAACAAGGCAAGGCCCCUGAGCUACCCCGGGCCAGUGAUCGUAGCAGUGUGAGCCAGAGCCCAGCCCCUACCUACCCCUCUGACUCACACUACACCAGUCUGGAACAGAAUGUUCCUCGGAACUAUGUGAUGAUUGACGACAUCAGUGAGCUGACUAAAGACAGUGCCUCUACUGCCUCUGAUAGCCAGCGGCUAGAGCCCUUAGGGCCAGGCAGCAGUGGGCGUCCAGGGAAGGAGCCUGGAGAACCAGGUGUCCUUGAGGGGUCUGCACUGCCCUGCUGCUAUGGCAGAGGGGAAGAAGAAUCCGAGGAGGACUCAUAUGACCCUCGUGGGAAGGUCAGCCACCACCGGAACAUGGAGAGUAAUGGCCGAUCAGCCAGUGCCCACUACUACAAUAACAGCGACUAUAGACAGGGGACUCGAGCAGAGAAGUAUGGCCCAGGGCCCAAGCAUCCUUCCAAGAGCCUGGCCCCGGCUGCCAUCUCCUCCAAGCGCAGCAAGCACCGGAAGCAAGGCAUGGAGCAAAAGAUCUCCAAGUUCUCACCUAUCGAAGAGGCCAAGGAUGUGGAGUCAGAUCUGGCCUCCUACCCCCCACCUGCAGUCAGCAGCAGCCUGGCUUCUCGGGGCAGGAAGUUCCAGGAUGAAAUCACCUAUGGGCUCAAGAAGAAUGUGUACGAACAGCAGAGGUACUACGGGGUGUCAACCCGGGAGCUGGUGGAGGAGGACGACCACAUGUAUGGUGGGAGCAGCCGGUCCCGGAUUUCAUCUGCAUACAGUGGGGAGAAGCUGCCCAGUCAUGAUUUCAGUGGCCGAGGCAAGGGGUAUGAACGGGAACGAGAAGCUGUAGAGCGACUUCAAAAAGCGAGCCCUAAGCCCUCAUCCCUGAGCAUGGCCCACAGCCGGGCACGGCCACCCAUGCGGAGCCAGGCCUCUGAAGAGGAGAGCCCUGUCAGCCCCUUGGGGCAGCCCCGCCCUGCUGGGGGGCCCCUCCCUCCUGGGGAUACCUGCCCACAGUUCUGCUCCAGCCAUUCCAUGCCUGAUGUCCAGGAGCAUGUCAAGGAUGGACCCCGGGCCCAUGCAUAUAAGCGUGAGGAGGGCUACAUCCUGGAUGAUUCUCACUGCGUAGUUUCCGACAGUGAAGCGUAUCACCUAGGCCAGGAGGAGACAGACUGGUUUGAUAAGCCCCGGGAUGCCCGCUCCGACCGGUUCAGGCACCAUGGGGGCCAUGCAGUUUCCUCCUCCUCCCAAAAGCGAGGCCCUGCCAGGCACAGCUACCAUGACUAUGAUGAACCCCCUGAAGAAGGCCUGUGGCCUCACGAUGAGGGUGGCCCAGGCCGCCAUGCCUCAGCCAAGGAACAUCGGCACCACAGUGACCACGGGCGGCACUCAAGCCGCCACACUGGUGAGGAGCCGGGACGGCGUGCUGCCAAACCACAUGCUCGGGACCUGGGUCGCCAUGAGGCCCGUUCCCACCCUCAGCCCAACCCUGCCCCAGCCAUGCCGAAGAAGGGUCAGUCUGGGUACGCCAGCUCUGCUGAAUACUCACAGCCAUCCCGCGUUCCAUCAGCAUACCAUCAUGCCUCUGACAGUAAGAAGGGUUCCCGGCAGGCUGCACUGCAGACAAAACAGGAACCCCAGGUGCAGCCACAGCUGCAAGGUCGGCAGGCAACUCCAGGGCCACAGCAGUCACAGCCACUAUCAUCCAGGCAGAUGCCCUCAGGGGCAGCAUCGCGCCAGCCACAGAUACAGCAGCAGCAACAACAACAAGGUCUUGGGCUGCAGCAGAGCCAGCAGGCCCUUUCACAGGCUCGGCUGCAGCAGCAGAGCCAGCCCACCACCCGAGGUCCAGCCCCUGCUGCCAGCCAGCCAGUAGGGAAGCCUCAGCCAGGCCCCACGACAGCUGCAGGCUCCCAGCCAGCAGGACUGCCACGGGCAGAACAGACAAACGGUUCUAAAGGGACAGCCAAAGCACCCCAACAGGGAAGGGCUUCUCAGGCCCAGCCAACACCAGGACCAGGACCUGCAGGCCUGAAGGCUGGAGCCAGGCCUGCAGGGCCUCCAGGGGCUCCUGCUGGCCAGCCAGGUACUGAGGGAGAGAGUAUGUUUUCCAAGAUCCUCCCUGGUGGGGCAGCAGAGCAAGCUGGCAAGCUGACAGAAGCUGUGUCUGCUUUUGGCAAAAAAUUUUCUUCCUUCUGGUGACCAUGCCCAGUAGGGCUCUUGAAGAGAUGAAGAGAGAUGAUAUCAGUGCUGUGGAAAAAUCUCUGGAGUCAGAGGCCUGGGCGCAGCUCUGGACUCUGCGUAUAACUCAUCUACAAACUGGCAAACCCUUGGCCCAAAGACUCACACCAGGUGGGAUGUGGCAGGCAGGCCUCAGUUGAGAAUGGGAUGUUUUCUAACAGCAGCUGCCUGGUGACGCAUCUGUUGGACAAGUGGGACCACUGGCCUGGGGUGACCUUUGAUUGUCUUUCCAGAGACCCUGCUCUCCUCAGGGCACCACCUUCAAGGCAAAACUGUCAUUGGGAGGGAGGAGCCCUCUCUAGAACCCUGCCACCAUGGCUGUCUUGCCAUUCUUCCCACAGCCGCCUUUCUGCCGCCUGGUCAGCCAGGCUUCCAAUGCGUUAUACACAGAGUUUGGGCGCAUACUGCCCUUCCUCCGAGAUGCCAGAAGUUUUUCCACAGCCUUGGAGAGGGGCUUUGAUUGAGGGCUGGGAGCCUGGGGGCUCCAUUUCCUUCACAUUCCAGCUGGCCCAGAUCCCUCUGUGGCCAUAGGGCCCUGCCCCCUCACCCUGCUCUCUGGGGGACAUCAGAACAGACCUCCAGUGGCCAGUGUGGGGUUGGGAGAACUUUAUAAACAUUAGGACCUAACACUGUCUCAUCACUGAAAUAAGAGGCCAUAGCACCGAAAAGCAGCGUGGGCGCCGGCUGAGUCUUCUCCCAGCCUGUGGGUGGCAGUGUGCUAGCACACCUGCCACCACCUCAAAGCCAUCUCCCUAGCCAUCAUGAGCAUCCCAGCGGCACGGCUAUUGUUUUCAACCAGCCAGCUCCUCGUCUGUACACCUGGGGAUUUCUUUUGAUUUCAAGAACAGCCUUAAUCAUUCCAGUUUGAUUUAUGUGUAUACCUCAUAAACAUUUUUCUUUUGUUUCUCUUUCUCCUUUUCUCUCUUCUCUUUGUUCACCCCUUGCCUUGCCCUUUCACUACCACCUUGUGACUGAUGGUUUGGUUCCUCUCUGCUCUGCCCCUGCUCAGCACAGGGAGAAUGUUGACUUAGAAGCAAUAGGGGGCAGCAGGCCACCAAGAGCACAACCCCAGGGCGAGGUCUAGGGAGACCCCUCAGCCCGCCUCUGUUUACUGUGCAAUUCCAGUCCUUCUUAAGCCAUCACCAGAGGGUGUGCUCAGAGCAGAAGGGCCAGGGCUUCUGACAGCCAAGGAAAAGGCCCAGAGCCCUGUUGGAGAGAGUGUGGCACCGUCUAUCCAUCUGGUAGACUAGGUGGCAUUCCUCCCCAAGGCCCUUCACUUAGGGGCCUCCCUUUAUCUUGUGCACAGCCACAAGUCUCAUCUCUAAUGUUCUAUGCAAUGAAAUAUAAACCCUCAAAGACAACUGUUAAUAUUUAAUAAAUUCCAUGUUAUGUAUAAGGAGUUAAUUGCAAACAUGCAAUUGAGAAACUGGAUAGAUAUGCUCAUAUCACCCCCACCCCACUCCUCCUCCCACCGUGUGUGUGUGUGUGUGUGUGUGUGUGAAAUUCUCAGUCUGUGGCAUGUUUGACCUGUGGCAGGACUUGCUACUGCCAGGCGAGUCACCACCUGUCCUGCAGCGGAGCAUGCACAGCUCGCAGCCUCUUUGCAUGAUUUCAUCCAUUUUAAAUGCUCGACCCUCUUGCUUGGAGUUCUUUUUGCCUCAGAACCUCUCCUUCAGGAGCACUUCUAGCUGACUUCUGCACAAGUUAGUGAGGACUGCCAGUAUUGUUGCCUGAGUGUGCCAGGCUGUGUAGCUGGCAGCAUAAGGCUCCACACACCCUGAAGUUUUCUCUGUCCAGUGAAGCAGGUAAAAAGGAAUCCCUGGAGCAGAUACAAUGGUAGGAGCCCACACAGGAUGUGUGUGUAUGAAUAUUCUGAAGGCUUGCUAAGGAUUUCUAUCUAUAGGCUGUUUUCCCUUCUUAUACUAGCCCUGAGCCAUAGGUAUCUGCCACCUCUUCCCAGCAGGCAAUGCUCAAGGGCAGAGCAGGGCCAUAUCCAUGGCCAGACAGGCAAAGCCAAAGGUAGAGUCUGGUUGUACCCCAGAGACCCCAGCUCCUGAAUGUACCUGCUCCAUACCUAUUCUCUGUGACUGGGAGGUUCAAAGGCUUGUGAGCCAGGAGAUCUGGGCUGGAGCCAGGGAAUCAAAGGGAAAAGCUGGGUCUUUGGUACUUGUGGUGAGGACAGUUAACAAUGUCAUCUGGAACCAGAGCAUGUGAAGUAUUCACAUAAAUGGUGGCUUCAAGCUGAGUUUCUUAAACAGUAACACUUAUAGAAGGUCCUAUGUGGCCCUCUCUGCAUCUGACCCUAGGACCUACCCUCCUUACACAUCCCAUUCUCCAAAAGCCAAGUAUUCCACUGCUCAUCCGCUUCUCAACCACUCAGCCAGGAGCACAGCCAGGUCAGCUGCCUGACCCCUCAUGGCUGACCUUCCUCCAGAGUGCUCUGGUUCACACCAUGCAUUUCUCAGGGGUCCACAUGCCUUUCAAUAAGGUCUACAGACCACUUCAGUGAGGGAUCCUGGCCCACCUCUGAUAGCUCUGGACAGGACAGGAAGCUGUUUAUAUCUGUGUUAGACCUAAGACCUUGGCCUUCCUGCAGGAAUUUUGCCUCACCCAUCCCGUGGAACACCUGCCUCACCCCAGAGAUCAGGCCUGGGACUGGAAAAAGCCAAGGGCUGAGGGAAAACCAUCAUCUAGCACCUCUGGCCACCCAGGACCAGGUCUGUGCCUAGCAGUUGGGUACUCGGAGACCAAGGCAACAAUCCUUUCUACUAAAGGCCAAGGGAUGGGAUGGGGAGCAGGGAACAGGCAGGGAGAUGUUAGCAGGUCAGCCUCUAGCAGGCCCUCUUAGGCUCUGAAGUAUUGACUUUUCAGCAAAUUUCCUUUCUGGUAAAGCCCACUGAGUUUGAAAUCCUGACAUCUUCCACUCCCUACCUCCCACUGUACCCACUAGAUACAUCAUUGCCCCUCUGUGAAAGUGGCUGGAGAAAGGGCUGUCCCUCCUGGCCCUUGUACAGCUGUGACUCUGAGGGCAAUUCAGCCAGAAACUGAGGGACCAGCAUUUGGUGUCUUGGAAAGUAGAAAGCAACAGGCAUAUCUCCAAAUGGGCAGCAGGUCUCUGGUGUACAGCCCAGGCCUUCUCCAUACCCCUGUCCCCACCACCAUGAGCAAGGGCAUUGCCUCCUCUGCCCACUUCAGGGCCCAAUGCACUCACUUCAUAGUAACAGCAUCCCCAUCUCCUUAUCUUUGGGCAGAGCAUAUGUUCCAAGGGCCCAUGAUGAAAGAGUAGCAGUGACAGCAACUAUGGCUUGUCUUCUGGCACCUGUAGGGAGUUUUCCAGGCAGGUCCUUUGCCACAACCAUGUGGUCUUAUGCCCUAUUGGCCCCUCCCCUGUCUCCUUAGCACCCCCAUGCUGUAAAUACUUCUCAUUGUGAAAUUCAACAGGGUCAAAGGGAUAGGCCUAAUCAACUGAAACUCCUCAGAGAUGCCAUCUCUCUCCCCGGGUGCCAGCAGCCCUGCUGCCAAGUAUACUGGAGGGCACUGGAGAACCAUGGAAGUCAUGAGAUAUUGUUAUGUGUAUGCACAUGAACAUGCGUGUGUGUGUGUGUGUGUGUAACUGCCUCAUUUGGCCUCUGGGGUCAGAUCAGCUUCUCUCCAAGUGCAGUACCUGGAGAGUAAUGACCACUCAAUACCUUUUCCUCUAGCUUUCAUGUCUUGUUUUUGCUUUUCCCUCCCUUCCCCCUCUCUACCUUUCUAUUCUUCUUUCCUUCUCUCCUUCUUUAUUUGAGGGGGAAGAGUGCUGUACAAAGUCAAACAACAAGUUUACAAUUGUAAGUGCAAUGACCCGAGUCCUCCACAUGACCCUUGUGAAUUGUGUGCCACCUUCCUGUGCUCUGUGAGAACUCUUCAGUGUCCCUCCCCCUGUAUUGUGACACGGUAAUUCUGUGGUAUCAGAAUAAAAGGACUUGAUAUAAACAACCUA